GACUCCAUGCAACACCAUGUGGUGGUAAUUCACCGUACUUGUAAUACGGGGGUUGCGGGUUCAAGUCCCGCUGCCGGCCCCA
rnacentral:tRNA from 1 species